CGCACGGGUGAGUAACACGUAUGCAACCUGGCCGUCACAGGUGGAUAACCGGAAGAAAUUCCGACUAAUACAGCAUAACACUCCUGAGGGACAUCCUUCGGGAGUCAAAGGAGGCAACUCCGGUGACGGAUGGGCAUGCGGCGCAUUAGGUAGUUGGUAGGGUAACGGCCUACCAAGCCGACGAUGCGUAGGGGUUCUGAGAGGAAGGUCCCCCACAUUGGAACUGAGACACGGACCAGACUCCUACGGGAGGCAGCAG
rnacentral:rRNA from 1 species